CUGCAAGUCGAGCGCGAAAGCGGGGGCAACCCCGUGAGUAAAGCGGCGCACGGGUGCGUAACACGUGGGUAACUUUCCCUCAGGCGCGGGAUAACGCCUCGAAAGGGGCGCUAAUACCGCAUAAGACCACGAAGAUGUUGGUUUUCGUGGUAAAAGGGGCGGGCAACCGAUUCACCUGAGGAUGGGCCCGUGGCCCAUUAGCUUGUUGGUGGGGUAAUGCCCUACCAAGGCGAUGAUGGGUAGCUGGUCUGAGAGGACGACCAGCCACACUGGGACUGAGACACGGCCCAGACUCUUACGGGAGGCAGCAGUGAGGAAUAUUGCGCAAUGGGCGAAAGCCUGACGCAGCGACGCCGCGUGGGGGAAGAAGGCCUUCGGGUCGUAAAUCCCCUGUAAGGAGGAACGAUGUGGUACAGCCAACACCUGUACCAUGACG
rnacentral:rRNA from 1 species